rnacentral:rRNA from 1 species
GCCAUCGCUCAACGGAUAAAAGGUACUCCGGGGAUAACAGGCUGAUACCGCCCAAGAGUUCAUAUCGACGGCGGUGUUUGGCACCUCGAUGUCGGCUCAUCACAUCCUGGGGCUGAAGUAGGUCCCAAGGGUAUGGCUGUUCGCCAUUUAAAGUGGUACGCGAGCUGGGUUUAGAACGUCGUGAGACAGUUCGGUCCCUAUCUGCCGUGGGCGCUGGAGAACUGAGGGGGGCUGCUCCUAGUACGAGAGGACCGGAGUGGACGCAUCACUGGUGUUCGGGUUGUCAUGCCAAUGGCACUGCCCGGUAGCUAAAUGCGGAAGAGAUAAGUGCUGAAAGCAUCUAAGCACGAAACUUGCCCCGAGAUGAGUUCUCCCUGACCCUUUAAGGGUCCUGAAGGAACGUUGAAGACGACGACGUUGAUAGGCCGGGUGUGUAAGCGCAGCGAUGCGUUGAGCUAACCGGUACUAAUGAACCGUGAGGCUUAACCUUACAACGCCGAAGGUGUUU